GACGAACGCUGGCGGCGUGCUUAACACAUGCAAGUCGAACGGAAAGGCCCUGCGUUUGUGGGGUGCUCGAGUGGCGAACGGGUGAGUAACACGUGAGUAACCUGCCCUUGACUUUGGGAUAACUUCAGGAAACGGGGGCUAAUACCGGAUAGGAGCUCCUGCUGCAGGGUGGGGGUUGGAAAGUUUCGGCGGUUGGGGAUGGACUCGCGGCUUAUCAGCUUGUUGGUGGGGUAGUGGCUGACCAAGGCUUUGACGGGUAGCCGGCCUGAGAGGGUGACCGGCCACAUUGGGCCUGCGAUACGGCCCAGACUCCUACGUUAGGCAGCAGUGGGGAAUGUUGCACAAUGGGCGGAAGCCUGAUGCAGCAACGCCGCGUGCGGGAUGCCGUCCUUCGGGUUGUAAACCGCUUUCGCCUGUGACGAAGCGUGAGUGACGGUAAUGGGUAAAGAAGCACCGGCUAACUACGUG
rnacentral:rRNA from 1 species